UAUCCCCUACGGGAGGCAGCAGUGGGGGAUAUUGCACAAUGGGCGAAAGCCUGAUGCAGCGACGCCGCGUGAGGGAAGACGGUUUUCGGAUUGUAAACCUCUGUCGAGGGGGACGAAGGAAGUGACGGUACCCCUUGAGGAAGCCACGGCUAACUACGUGCGAGCAGCCGCGGUAAUACGUAGGUGGCAAGCGUUGUCCGGAAUUACUGGGUGUAACGGGAGCGUAGGCGGGAAUGCAAGUUGAAUGUAUAAACGGUCGGCUCAACCGGCCGAAGAGUUCAAAACUGCAGUUCUUGAGUGGAGUG
rnacentral:rRNA from 1 species